AUUCACUAGUGAUUCUCAGUCUCACCAUCAACCCCCAAAGCUGAAGUUCUAUUUAAACUAUUCCCUG
rnacentral:tRNA from 1 species